ACGUAGUUUGAUCAUGGCUCAAGAACGACGCUGGCGGCAUGCCUAACACAUGCAAGUCGAACGAAGGCUUCGGCCUUAGUGGCGCACGGGUGCGUAACGCGUGGGAACCUGCCCCUCGGUUCGGAAUAACAGUUAGAAAUGACUGCUAAUACCGGAUGAUGACUUCGGUCCAAAGAUUUAUCGCCGAGGGAUGGGCCCGCGUAGGAUUAGCUAGUUGGUGGGGUAAAGGCCUACCAAGGCGACGAUCCUUAGCUGGUCUGAGAGGAUGAUCAGCCACACUGGGACUGAGACACGGCCCAGACUCCUACGGGAGACAGCAGUGGGGAAUAUUGGACAAUGGGCGAAAGCCUGAUCCAGCAAUGCCGCGUGAGUGAUGAAGGCCUUAGGGUUGUAAAGCUCUUUUACCAGGGAUGAUAAUGACAGUACCUGGAGAAUAAGCUCCGGCUAACUCCGUG
rnacentral:rRNA from 1 species